UAACAGGGCUGUUCCCAUCCCAGGGGGUGAA
rnacentral:piRNA from 1 species